rnacentral:rRNA from 1 species
AUUGAACGCUGGCGGCAUGCCUUACACAUGCAAGUCGAACGGUAACGGGCCUUCGGGUGCCGACGAGUGGCGAACGGGUGAGUAAUGCAUCGGAACGUACCUUUCAGUGGGGGAUAACGUAGCGAAAGUUACGCUAAUACCGCAUAUUCUGUGAGCAGGAAAGCAGGGGAUCGCAAGACCUUGCGCUGAUUGAGCGGCCGAUGUCAGAUUAGCUAGUUGGUGAGGUAAAGGUUCACCAAGGCGACGAUCUGUAGCGGGUCUGAGAGGAUGAUCCGCCACACUGGAACUGAGACACGGUCCAGACUCCUACGGGAGGCAGCAGUGGGGAACUUUGGACAAUGGGGGCAACCCUGAUCCAGCCAUGCCGCGUGAGUGAAGAAGGCCUUCGGGUUGUAAAGCUCUUUCGGCCGGGAAGAAAUCGUAUGGGCUAAUACCCUGUGCGGAUGACGGUACCGGCAUAAGAAGCACCGGCUAACUACGUGCCAGCCGCCGCGGUAAUAC